rnacentral:rRNA from 1 species
GACGAACGCUGGCGGCGUGCUUAACACAUGCAAGUCGAACGGAAAGGCCCUGCUUUUGUGGGGUGCUCGAGUGGCGAACGGGUGAGUAACACGUGAGUAACCUUCCCUUUACUUUGGGAUAACUUCAGGAAACUGGUGCUAAUACCUGAUAGGAGCUCCUGCUGCAUGGUGGGGUUUGGAACGUUUCGGCGGUUGGGGAUGGACUCGCGGCUUAUCAGCUUGUUGGUGGGGUAGUGGCUUACCAAGGCUUUGACGGGUAGCCGGCCUGAGAGGGUGACCGGCCACAUGGGGACUGAGAUACGGCCCAGACUCCUACGGGAGGCAGCAGUGGGGAAUAUUGCACAAUGGGGGGAAGCCUGAUGAAGCAACGCCGCGUGCGGGAUGAAGGCCUUCGGGUUGUAAACCGCUUUCGCCUGUGACGAAGCGUGAGUGACGGUAAUGGGUAAAGAAGCACCGGCUAACUACGUG